UGGGGAAUAUUGCACAAUGGGGGAAACCCUGAUGCAGCAACGCCGCGUGCGGGAUGACGGCCUUCGGGUUGUAAACCGCUUUCAGCCAUGACGAAGCUUUUGUGACGGUAGUGGCAGAAGAAGCACCGGCUAACUACGUGCCAGCAGCCGCGGUGAUACGUAGGGUGCGAGCGUUGUCCGGAAUUAUUGGGCGUAAAGAGCUUGUAGGCGGUUUGUCGCGUCGAAAGUGUAAACUCAGUGCUUAACGCUGAGCCUGCGUUCGAUACGGGCUGACUAGAGGAAGGUAGGGGAGAAUGGAAUUCCCGGUGGAGCGGUGGAAUGCGCAGAUAUCGGGAGGAACACCAGUGGCGAAGGCGGUUCUCUGGACCUUUCCUGACGCUGAGAAGCGAAAGCGUGGGUAGCAAACAGG
rnacentral:rRNA from 1 species